AUGCCGCGUGAGUGAUGAAGGCCUUAGGGUUGUAAAGCUCUUUUACCCGGGAAGAUAAUGACUGUACCAGGAGAAUAAGCCCCGGCUAACUUCGUGCCAGCAGCCGCGGUAAUACGAAGGGGGCUAGCGUUGUUCGGAAUCACUGGGCGUAAAGCGCUCGUAGGCGGAUCUUUAAGUCAGAGGUGAAAUCCCAAGGCUCAACCUUGGAACUGCCUUUGAUACUGGGGAUCUCGAGUCCGGGAGAGGUGAGUGGAACUGCGAGUGUAGAGGUGAAAUUCGUAGAUAUUCGCAAGAACACCAGUGGCGAAGGCGGCUCACUGGCCCGGUCCUGACGCUGAGGAGCGAAAGCGUGGCGAGCAAACAGGAUUAGAUACCCUGGUAGUCCACGCCGUCAACGAUGGAUGCUAGCCGUCGGACAGCUUGCUGUUCCGUGGCGCAGCUAACGCUUCAACGCAUCCCGCCUGCGGAGUACGGUCGC
rnacentral:rRNA from 1 species